rnacentral:misc_RNA from 1 species
GAUGAAGAACGUAGCGAAAUGCGAUACGUAAUGUGAAUUGCAGAAUUCAGUGAAUCAUCGAGUCUUUGAACGCACAUUGCGCCCCCUGGUAUUCCGGGGGGCAUGCCUCCGAGCGUCAUUGCUGCCCUCAAGCACGGCUUGUGUGUUGGGCCUCCGUCCUCCUCCCGGGGGACGGGCCCGAAAGGCAGCGGCGGCACCGCGUCCGGUCCUCGAGCGUAUGGGGCUUCGUCACCCGCUCUUGUAGGCCCGGCCGGCGCUUGCCGACACAUCAAUCUUUUUUCCAGGUUGACCUCGGAUCAGGUAGGGAUACCCGCUGAACUUAAGCAUAUCAAUAAGCGGAGGA